rnacentral:tRNA from 1 species
UCCCUGGUGGCUCAGUCGGUAAAGAAUCUGCCUGCAGUGCAGGAGACCUGGGUUCGAUCCCUGGAUUGGGAA